rnacentral:rRNA from 1 species
UAGGGAAUCUUCCACAAUGGGCGAAAGCCUGAUGGAGCAACGCCGCGUGUGUGAUGAAGGGUUUCGGCUCGUAAAACACUGUUGUAAGAGAAGAAUGACAUUGAGAGUAACUGUUCAAUGUGUGACGGUAUCUUACCAGAAAGGAACGGCUAAAUACGUGCCACCAG